rnacentral:piRNA from 1 species
UAACUGUUUAAGGUGUUUCUCAGGAGUUA